ensembl:rRNA 5S_rRNA 5S ribosomal RNA
CGUGGCCAGACCACCCUGAAUCCACCUAAUCUCAUCUGAUCUCAGAAGCUAAGCAGGGUCUGGCCUGGUUAGUACUUGGAUAGGAGAAGUUCGAGACCAGAUUGGGUAACAUGU